AGCUUUGCGCAGUGGCGAUAUCGUAACCAAUGAGGUACAACCGGGGUGCGAUUAUUGUUAGUUGAAAACAAACCUCGCUCAGCAAAACUUGCCAUACAUGCUACAUGUUUAUAGCUACUCGAAGAGCAUCAAGGUGC